UACGUAGGAGGCAAGCGUUGUCCGGAGUUACUGGGCGUAAAGCGCACGCAGGCGGUCUCUUAAGUUUGUAGGGACAGGGCACAGCUUAACUGUGUCAGGCUUACGAAAACUGGGAGACUUGAGGGCUCAAGAGGGAUGGGGAAUUCCGGGUGGAGUGGUGAAAUGCGUAGAGAUCCGGAAGAACACCAAAGGCGAAGGCACCAUCCUGGGGAGUCACUGACGCUCGGGUGCGAAAGCCAGGGGAGCGAACGGG
rnacentral:misc_RNA from 1 species